UACGUAGGGUGCAAGCGUUGUCCGGAAUUAUUGGGCGUAAAGAGUUCGUAGGCGGUUUGUCGCGUCCGUUGUGAAAGCUUGGGGCUCAACCCCAAGUCUGCAGUGGAUACAGGCAGACUAGAGUCAGGUAGGGGAGAACGGAAUUCCUGGUGUAGCGGUGAAAUGCGCAGAUAUCAGGAGGAACACCGGUGGCGAAGGCGGUUCUCUGGGACGGUACUGACGCUGAGACGCGAAAGCGUGGGGAGCGAACAGG
rnacentral:rRNA from 1 species